GACUGGUUGGCGCAAUUGGUAGCGCGUUGGAUUCCAACACCCCUUACAUGGCAUCUCGCUAUGCGAGACGAAACAGGGGUAUGGAACCUAUCCAAAGGUUGGGUGUUCGAGUCACUCAUCGGUCA